rnacentral:rRNA from 1 species
UACAGAGGGUGCGAGCGUUGUCCGGAAUCACUGGGCGUAAAGGGCGCGUAGGCGGCCGGCCAAGUCGGGGGUGAAAGCCUGUGGCUCAACCACAGAAUGGCCCUCGAUACUGGACGGCUCGAGACCGGAAGAGGUUGGUGGAAUUGCGAGUGUAGAGGUGAAAUUCGUAGAUAUUCGGAAGAACACCAGUGGCGAAGGCGGCUCACUGGCCCGGUACUGACGCUGAAAUACGAAAGCGUGGGGAGCAAACAGG